UACAGAGGUCUCAAGCGUUGUUCGGAAUCACUGGGCUUAAAGGGUGCGUAGGCUGCGCAGAAAGUUGGGUGUGAAAUCCCUCGGCUUAACCGAGGAACUGCGCCCAAAACUACUGUGCUCGAGGGAGACAGAGGUGAGCGGAACUUAGGGUGGAGCGGUGAAAUGCGUUGAUAUCCUAAGGAACACCCGUGGCGAAAGCGGCUCACUGGGUCUCUUCUGACGCUGAGGCACGAAAGCUAGGGUAGCGAACGGG
rnacentral:rRNA from 1 species